GUUCCUGCUCUCAGCUCACUGUCCCCAUGGGUGGGAGGGCCCCUGAGGGGACUUCAAGGAGACCCUGGGCUCGUGGAGCCUCACGGGGGAAAGCCUGACUCUGAGUCACCACUGGAAAGUGCUGCAGGCAGCUGUGAAGAUGAAACGGGCAACGCCAGCUGCUCCUCCCCCUCGGACUCGGGCAGCCUUGCCCCCACGUUCCUGCAAAGAGCACGACCCCCCAAGGGAGCUCAGGUUCUACCCACCCUCAGGGCCCUCACCUCACCAGAGAGGUUCCUGCAAGCAGCACGGCUGAGAAGCUGCUCCAAAAUAGGACCCCACUUCAGCCUGGGUGAGGCAGGGGCCUGCACUGGUGCCUCAGGAGCCAGUCGUGGUGGGGGCCUGGCUGGCAAACCUGAAGGGGCAGCCCAGGCCUGCAGCCCGAGCCCACAUGGAGACACCGGGACUCGAGAUGGGCCUGAGGGGAAAUCACCUCCCUUCCUAUCCCACAGCACACUUCGGGGGAGGGAAGGAGGAAUAAAGGGGAGGCCGGACCUGAGGAGCGCUCUGGGGGGCUUCAGGAGCACCAGGGUGUGCAUGGCGGUGUGGGGAGGGUGCCCAGGGCUGCAGAAGUUGGAGACGGCUCCAGAGGCAAGUAGAGCCUGGCAGGCAGGGGAGAGCGCACAGGCCUCUGACGCCAGGAGCAACCAGCAUCUGGGAAGACCCUGGGCACACCGCGAGCUGGUGGCGACCGCAUGGCCAGGCUAGGCGCCUGCUUAAACGAAGCCCUUGGAACUCAGUGAAAGCAGCGGCAUCCUCAGAAGAAAGAGAAACCGCUCACCACUGUCAGCACCACGGCCCCGUUCCCUGCACCCCCAGCCUUCAUGGGGAGGACACAUCCUUUCACUGAAUUGGGAGAAAAACAGCAUCACCCCCACCCCGCCCCCAGGUUUCCUGAGCCUCAGCACCAGGGAGAGUGCUCAGAAUGGGCCCUGGACUCUGGGGCCUGGAGCAGGUCUGAAGGCUCCCGCAGCUGCAGUCUCUGCCGUCUGCACUGGGGACGGCUCUUGGGUUGGGUCCUUCUUCCCUGCGCACUCCGAGGUCCUCCCUGCAGCCUUCCAGUCAGCAGGACCUGGCUGGGGGGACAGCAUCAGGGGCACUGGCUGAGGGAGGUGAAUGAGCCUCUCCCUGGUAUGCAGGAAGGGCCUGGUGGGAAGAACAAUGACUCAGCCUGGAGAUGGCAGCAGCUCAGCCCUCAUGGGACUGUCUGACUCAGUCCCCACCCUCUCUGUCCCCAGGAAUGACCAGCCAUUGGGUGGCCCUGCUGGAGGCCGCCCCCGCCUAUGACCAGACAGCCUCUGCUCUGGAGGGCUCCUGUCCUGAGUGCCGACUGCCAGGCCGUCCUCGGGCUGGAAAGGGCAGAGCUGUGGGGAGGUGAGCAGAAGCCCAGGGAAGCACCGGGUGCUGGGCAGGCCAGCCAGCUGCAGGCAUCGCUUUCAGGGUGCAGAAGAGCCAGACCCAGCCCAAGGAGGGAGGCCCAGAGUGCCUCAGUGAUGACCACGUGGGCAUAGCCAGGAGGAACACCCAGGGCGGCGGUAGGUCCCUGGAAGAGGGACACGGUGGGCAUUGCCUGGGGUUGGGAAGCCUCCGUCUCUGCAGGUCACUCGCACCUGGGAGUAUGGCCACGGUCAGCCCCAGAGUCCGGAAGGAAAGCAGGGCCCGGGAGGCCUCAGGACCAGAAACAAACAGAGAAGAUGCCAGAGGCAUCCACAAGGCAAAGUCAGCAAAACAGGGGAUAAAGGAGCUGUUUCAGAGGAAGAAAAGUCCCGGUCCCUGCAGGAGGGGCCAACUCCCAGCCUCAUGCUGCUGCCACAGGGGGCCUGUGGGGCUGGUUCCAGCUGGGGAAGCACAGGGAGACGUCCACCCAGGAAACUGCUCCAAAGCCAGGACAAGUGUGACUGGAGUUGGGAAGAGCAGAGACGAUGGCUCAGCAGUGAACAGCCAGGGGCAGCCCAGGAGGCGAAGCUGGCCCUGCUCACCCUGUCCACAUCCUGAUGCAAGAAGAACAUGGCGUGGAGCUCCGUAAUGAGGCAGCAUCCACUGCACAAACAAGCCCAGAAAAAGGGAGACACACAGGUGACCCAGAGUGGAGUCAGGAAGCCCCGAGAAAGGACGCGGGCUGUGGCUGCUGCAGAACUUGGAGCUCCAAAAUAACAAAGGAAAUGACCUAUGCACAGCCACGAGGAGAGAGAGACGGGGUCCCAGCAUUGCUGGGAGAGGCCAUGAUGCUCAGUGGGCACCCACCAUGAGAUGCCCGGGUCCUGAGCCAGGAGGCGGAGCCACUCCCCACGCACUCUGUCCUGACUUUGGUGACAGGAGCAGCCACCGAAUGCCAUCAUCUGCCAAGGUGACCUCCAAGCACUGGGCAGGCAGAGGCCGCUCCUGUUUUCCAGGAAGCUGGCAAGUGGGCUCUGGAGACGGCAGUUUUAUCUGCAGGCAGAGGGAGCGACCAGGUGCCCGAAGCCCCUCCACCCCGGGACUGCAGCGUCCUGGGACCCUCAAGACAGGAUCCCACGAGGAGGGUUACCAGCUCCCCGGCCGAGGCGUUCUCUUUCCCUACGGCCUGCCUUUUUCAUAAGAUCAAUGCCGUGGAAUCCUACGGAAAUGAAUUAUUAGCUAAUACUUCCAAAGAACGAACCUGUCAAAGUUCCAUGUUUCCAACUGAACCCAUGUUCCUCCACUAAUACUUGGAUUUUCUUCCACCACGGCCGUUCCUGAGACAGCAAGACCAGUUCCUCCUCCUUCUGCUCCUCCUCAGCCCACUUGACGUGAAGACGACGAGGAUGGAGACCUUGAUCGUGCCCCACUCCCACCUAAUGAAUAGUCUGUAGAUUUUCUCUUCCUUAGGACUUUCUUCAUAACAUUUUCCUUUCUCUAUCUUACUUUAUUAUAAAAAUACAGUAUAUAACACAGAUGCAAAUUAUGUGUUAAUUGAGUUUUUAUGUUAUCUGUAAGGCUUCCAGUCAACAGUUGGCCCUCAGGAGCUAAGUUUUGGGGGAGUCCAAAGUUGUAUGAGUAUUUUUCACUGUGUAGGGGAUCAGUGCCCAUAAACCUCAGGUUAUUUAAGGGUCUACUGUAUAAAGUAAAUAUUGGACUCAUAAUAACAAUAGCAGCUAUAACAUCUUUGUAGCACUUAGCCUUGGUACAGGUGCCUUCAAUAUGCUAACUAAUUUAACUUUUAACCAAGCCAGUUCUUUAUGUAAAAAAAACGAUUCAUCAUAAUUUAAUAUCUUAUACAUGUUCCAUUCAAUUUUCUAAAUUUGGCUAAUAUAAAAUAAGGUUUAAUAUUACCAUGAUUUGAUCAACAUUUCAAAAUUACAUAUAUUUCUCUUACAAAUUCAUUGUUAUUGACAUCAAAUUUAUAACCACGUUAUUGGCAUUGUUUAACCACACAGUAAAAUAAGUGUAAUCAGUGAAAAAAAUAGAAUAAAAUCUAUAUAGUGGAGACCUUGAAAUAUAUGUGCGAGAGUGCAAGAGUUUAUUCACUGUUGGGAUGAAAUGCUAUUUAACAGUUUUUCUUUCCCAAGGGAUGGAAUUAUGUGGGAUUCUUGUCUCCAUCUGAGAUCUAUCCCAGGGCAUCAUCUCCGGAGAAGUUUCCGUCUUCUGCG
rnacentral:lncRNA from 1 species